rnacentral:lncRNA from 1 species
GAAAGCAUAGCCCAGAACACAGGAGACUCUCCACCAGUAUUUGUGUACUGAAUAAAGGAAUGAAGGAAACCUUCAGGCCUUCCCUCCUCAGAAGAAUCCUAAAAGGAACUUGAUUCAGGGAAAGACUUCAACUCAAAGGGGCUGGUAGGCCAUUUUAAAUGGAACAGAUGGAAGGCCAUCUUCAAAGGUACUGCCUACCUGAACCUGCCUUGUCCCAAAGGACACACUUCAAUCUGGGGAGAGUUUAAAGUUGUAGACAUAUCCAUUUUCAUUUAAGGAAUAUGAAGAUCAGGGAGGCAAAAUAUAGAGAUAUAGAGAGGAAAAACUGAGAGAUGAUCAGAAAUUCAGACGCAUUCGGAAUGAGCACCCUUGACCAUACCAAGAACAAAGACUCUAUAAAAAUGUGAAGUCUUAUUAUUGUUCAUCCAUGUUCUACGUGGGAUCCACCCAAGACAUUGAAAACUGUACAGAACAGGGUGAAAUUGAAUCAGAUCAUUCUGUACUCCUAACAAGGUCCACCCCAUGAGAGACUUGCAGCAGAAUUAAUGACACUGUAUAUUUUCCUCUACUAACAACAACAAGAACAACAACAACAACAAUCUAGGAAAAUCAAAGGCAGCCCGACAUGGAAAAAAACACAAAAUGAAUAUUUGGAUUACAAAUAGUGUGAUGGGAAGAACACACUGCCAAAAGUCCACCUAGUAUGUUGAAAUUACUGUUUCUAGCACAUAUAAGAUUUGCUGCCAAUUUGUACUGACUUCUGAAAAAUACUUUAUCCAUUGUCUUCUUACAUCAGAAUCAACUCCCUAAAUUCUUCAGCACUGGCUUUGUAAACUGGUUUCUGGUCUUUGUUUCUGUCAACUUACCUAUAAAAGGAUACAAAAACUGAAGAACAGAGAGGAGCAGAUACCCUGGAAAGCCGAAAGUUUUAUUGACCAAAGACUGAGUCUCGGAAUGUUUUGAUUGUGGAGUUUAUAGAGUUCAGGCUGAAGUUUUAUAAAAAUAACUUGCAGCAGCAUGGAGGACUGAUGAGAAAGUAGACAGAUGCUGGAAGCAGGAAAACUGAACAGCAGGUCACUGGCCAAGGAGAAUCAAAGAGCUAGAUGCUGAGAAUAAUGCAGCCAUAACGUGAAAUCUUUUUGAGAGAGGAGGCAACCAAUUUCAGAGAUGGUAUGAAGGCUUGCUGAAGAAGGGUAUGGUUGGGAUGAGAACACUGAGCAUUUUAUAAAAGUUCACAAUGAUCACUUAAAGGUAAAGAUGUGUUAAGAAUUUAGUCAAUAAUAAAUGUAAA